AUUGAACGCUGGCGGCAGGCCUAACACAUGCAAGUCGAACGAGUGGCGGACGGGUGAGUAAUGUCUGGGAAACUGCCUGAUGGAGGGGGAUAACCACUGGAAACGGUAGCUAAUACCGCAUACUAUCGGAUGUGCCCAGAUGGGAUUAGCUAGUAGGUGGGGUAAGGGCUCACCUCGGCGACGAUUCCUAGCUGGUCUGAGAGGAUGACAAGCCACACUGUAACUGCGACACGGUGCAGACUCCUACGGGAGGAAGGCGUGGAGAAUAUUGCACAAUUGGCGCAAGCCUGAUGCAGCCAUGCCGCGUGUAUGAAGAAGGCAUUCAGGUUGUAAAGUACUUUCAGCGGGGAGGCGUUAACCGCAGAAGAAGCACCGGCUAACUCCGUGCCAGCAGCCGCGGUAAUAC
rnacentral:rRNA from 1 species